rnacentral:rRNA from 1 species
UACGUAGGGCGCGAGCGUUGUCCGGAUUUAUUGGGCGUAAAGAGCUCGUAGGCGGCUUGUUGCGUCGGCUGUGAAAACCCGCGGCUUAACUGCGGGCUUGCAGUUGAUACGGGCAGGCUAGAGUUCGGUAGGGGAGACUGGAAUUCCUGGUGUAGCGGUGAAAUGUGUAGAGAUCGGGAGGAACACCGGUGGCGAAGGCGGGUCUCUGGGCCGAUACUGACGCUGAGGAGCGAAAGCGUGGGGAGCGAACAGG